CCCUUAGAUGUCCUGGGCCGCACGCGCGCUACACUGACAUGUUCAACAAGCCUCCUAGUUCGACAGGAUUUGGGAAAUCUUUGAACGCAUGUCGUGAUAGGGAUAGAUCAUCGCAAUUAUUGAUCUUGAACGAGGAAUUCCUAGUAAACGCGAGUCAUCAGCUCGCAUUGAUUACGUCCCUGCCCUUUGUACACACCGCCCGUCGCACCUACCGAUUGAAUGUUUCGGUGAAGAUUCCGGAUAGGACUUUUUUGAUUUAUUUCAAUUUUGUCUUAAAAGCUAUCUAAACCUCAACAUUUAGAGGAAGGUGAAGUCGUAACA
rnacentral:rRNA from 1 species